rnacentral:rRNA from 1 species
AGAGUUUGAUUCUGGCUCAGGACGAACGCUGGCGGCGUGCUUAACACAUGCAAGUCGAACGAUGAAGCCUAGCUUGCUAGGUGGAUUAGUGGCGAACGGGUGAGUAAUACGUGAGUAACCUACCUUUAACUCUGGGAUAAGCCUGGGAAACUGGGUCUAAUACCGGAUACGACCAAUCUCCGCAUGGGGUGUUGGUGGAAAGCGUUAUGUAGUGGUUAUAGAUGGGCUCACGGCCUAUCAGCUUGUUGGUGAGGUAACGGCUCACCAAGGCGACGACGGGUAGCCGGCCUGAGAGGGUGACCGGCCACACUGGGACUGAGACACGGCCCAGACUCCUACGGGAGGCAGCAGUGGGGAAUAUUGCACAAUGGGCGCAAGCCUGAUGCAGCGACGCCGCGUGAGGGAUGACGGCCUUCGGGUUGUAAACCUCUGUUAGCAGGGAAGAAGAGAGAUUGACGGUACCUGCAGAGAAAGCGCCGGCUAACUACGUGCCAGCAGCCGCGGUAAUACGUAGGGCGCGAGCGUUGUCCGGAAUUAUUGGGCGUAAAGAGCUUGUAGGCGGUUUGUCGCGUCUGCUGUGAAAGGCCGGGGCUUAACCCCGUGUAUUGCAGUGGGUACGGGCAGACUAGAGUGCAGUAGGGGAGACUGGAACUCCUGGUGUAGCGGUGGAAUGCGCAGAUAUCAGGAAGAACACCGAUGGCGAAGGCAGGUCUCUGGGCUGUAACUGACGCUGAGAAGCGAAAGCAUGGGGAGCGAACAGGAUUAGAUACCCUGGUAGUCCAUGCCGUAAACGUUGGGCACUAGGUGUGGGGGACAUUCCACGUUUUCCGCGCCGUAGCUAACGCAUUAAGUGCCCCGCCUGGGGAGUACGGCCGCAAGGCUAAAACUCAAAG